CUCUAGGGAGACUGAGGAGGAAGUGAGAAGAAACUGCUAAGGUGCCUCAGUGUAUUCCAAGCACUUCAGAGACAUUGAAUCAAGGCAGUUGGAGGCAGCAUAGACUUAUUUCACCUUCAUCCUCCCACCAGGGAAGGAUACAAUCCUUUCCACAAGGAGGCUCGCAAAACUUUCAGAUGUCACUCAGCUCCCUGGACUCGUCUGCUGCCAUGAGAGGUCUCAGCCAAGGAUUUGGAGCCAAGAUAUGAGGGAAAUGGCUUAACCAGAUGUGUGCCCAUGCCUGCAACACUGAACUUUGAGAUGUGGUUAUUUAAAAAGCCUGCCAUCUUCUCUGGCUCACUGCAGCAAGGUGAGUAAUGGGUGGGACAGCAGCAUAUCCAGAAAAACACCUCUUUUUCAAGGGGAAGGAGAAGAGGUUAUA
rnacentral:lncRNA from 1 species